GACGAACGCUGGCGGCGUGCCUAAUACAUGCAAGUCGAACGCAGUGGGGACGGGUGAGUAACACGUGGGUAACCUCCCAUCAGAGGGGAUAACACUUGGAAACAGGUGCUAAACCGAUACUGAUGGAUGGACCCGCGGUGCAUUAGCUAGUUGGUGAGGUAACGGCUCACCAAGGCCACGAUGCAUAGCCGACCGGAGAGGGUGUGCGGCCAACGUGGAACUAGGACACGGCCCAGACUCGUACGGAAGGCAGCAGUGGGGAAUCUUCGGCAAUGGACAAAGGUCUGACCGAGCAACGCCGCGUGAGUGAAGGAGGUUUUCGGAUCGUAAAGCGCUGUUGUUAGAGCAACAAAGUCUAACCGGAAAGCCACGGCUAACUACAUGCCAGCAGCCGCGGUAAUUC
rnacentral:rRNA from 1 species